GCUGGUAUAGUUUAAUGAAAACACAGGAUUGUGAUUCCUGGAAUAAGAGUUCGAAUCUCCUUACCCGCC
rnacentral:tRNA from 1 species